UACGUAGGGUGCGAGCGUUGUCCGGAAUUAUUGGGCGUAAAGAGCUCGUAGGCGGCUUGUCGCGUCGGAUGUGAAAGCCCGGGGCUUAACUCCGGGUCUGCAUUCGAUACGGGCAGGCUAGAGUUCGGUAGGGGAGAUCGGAAUUCCUGGUGUAGCGGUGAAAUGCGCAGAUAUCAGGAGGAACACCGGUGGCGAAGGCGGAUCUCUGGGCCGAUAUUGACGCUGAGGAGCGAAAGCGUGGGGAGCAAACAGG
rnacentral:rRNA from 1 species